rnacentral:rRNA from 1 species
AUUGAACGCUGGCGGCAGGCCUAACACAUGCAAGUCGAACGGUAACAGGAAACAGCUUGCUGUUUCGCUGACGAGUGGCGGACGGGUGAGUAAUGUCUGGGAAACUGCCUGAUGGAGGGGGAUAACUACUGGAAACGGUAGCUAAUACCGCAUAACGUCGCAAGACCAAAGAGGGGGACCUUCGGGCCUCUUGCCAUCGGAUGUGCCCAGAUGGGAUUAGCUAGUAGGUGGGGUAACGGCUCACCUAGGCGACGAUCCCUAGCUGGUCUGAGAGGAUGACCAGCCACACUGGAACUGAGACACGGUCCAGACUCCUACGGGAGGCAGCAGUGGGGAAUAUUGCACAAUGGGCGCAAGCCUGAUGCAGCCAUGCCGCGUGUAUGAAGAAGGCCUUCGGGUUGUAAAGUACUUUCAGCGGGGAGGAAGGGAGUAAAGUUAAUACCUUUGCUCAUUGACGUUACCCGCAGAAGAGGCACCGGCUAACUCCGUG